rnacentral:rRNA from 1 species
UGAACGCUGGCGGCAGGCCUUAACACAUGCAAGUCGAGCGGGAAACGAGAGGUGCUUGCACCUCUGCGUUCGAGCGGCGGACGGGUGAGUAAUGCUUGGGAAUAUGCCUUAUGGUGGGGGACAACAGUUGGAAACGACUGCUAAUACCGCAUGAUGUCUACGGACCAAAGUGGGGGACCUUCGGGCCUCACGCCAUAAGAUUAGCCCAAGUGGGAUUAGCUAGUUGGUGAGGUAAUGGCUCACCAAGGCGACGAUCCCUAGCUGGUUUGAGAGGAUGAUCAGCCACACUGGGACUGAGACACGGCCCAGACUCCUACGGGAGGCAGCAGUGGGGAAUAUUGCACAAUGGGCGCAAGCCUGAUGCAGCCAUGCCGCGUGUGUGAAGAAGGCCUUCGGGUUGUAAAGCACUUUCAGUAAGGAGGAAAGGUUAAGUGUUAAUAGCACUUAGCUGUGACGUUACUUACAGAAGAAGCACCGGCUAACUCCGUGCC